rnacentral:rRNA from 1 species
UUUGUCCUACGGGACGCAGCAGUGGGGAAUAUUGCACAAUGGGGGAAACCCUGACGCAGCGACGCCGCGUGAGUGAAGAAGUAUUUCGGUAUGUAAAGCUCUAUCAGCAGGGAAGAAAAAAGACGGUACCUGACUAAGAAGCCCCGGCUAACUACGUGCCAGCAGCCGCGGUAAUACGUAGGGGGCAAGCGUUAUCCGGCUUUACUGUGUGUAAAGGGAGCGUAGACGGCGCGGCAAGUCUGAAGUGAAAGGCAGGGGCUUAACCCCUGAACUGCUUUGG